UUCCUCAAACUUAUCAUUGGAAAUUGCUAUAUUAAAUAUUUGUCAAUUUGAUAGGUAAAAAAUUAGAAAUUGAUGGAAUUUUUGAAUAUCUGCUACCCGAAGAUAAUGAAACUAGUGAUUUGAGGCAGUUGAAGAGCCCACGGGAGGAAGUUUCACAUUUGGCAUGACUUAGAAGUGCUGAUGGAAAUUACAGAUGAAUGGAGAAAGAAGUCCCAGUUGACACCUCAACACUGCUAUUGGUUUCUAGUAGGAAAAACAGCUUCAAACAUCUAUAUACCCAUCCUUUGCCUUUUGUCUCAGCAGUAACUGUUAUUGCAAAGUCUCAAUUUGCAUCCUGUACCAUGGUUCUUUUAUAUCAGAGGUCCUGCACAGGCUGUGAAGGGCCUUUUCUGAAGGCAUUAAUAUGAUGAGCUGUGUUGUUGUUGGGGAGUUCAUUUGUAAUGGAUCAUUAUGGAUGUGUAUAAUCUAAUAAAUCCCUUGGAUAUCUAGA